rnacentral:rRNA from 1 species
GACGAACCGAGCGAACGUUGUUCGGAAUCACUGGGCUUAAAGGGUGCGUAGGCUGGUUGCCAAGUCUGUGGUGAAAUCCUCCGGCUUAACCGGAGAACUGCCGUGGAUACUGGCGACCUCGAGGGGGGUAGGGGCUUGCGGAACUGUGCGUGGAGCGGUGAAAUGCGUUGAUAUGCACAGGAACUCCGGUGGCGAAGGCGGCGAGCUGGACCCUUUCUGACGCUGAGGCACGAAAGCCAGGGGAGCGAACGGG